rnacentral:rRNA from 1 species
AACGAACGCUGGCGGCAUGCCUAACACAUGCAAGUCGAACGAAGCCUUCGGGCUUAGUGGCGCACGGGUGCGUAACGCGUGGGAUUCUGCCCUUGGGUUCGGAAUAACAGUUAGAAAUGACUGCUAAUACCGGAUGAUGUCUUCGGACCAAAGAUUUAUCGCCCAAGGAUGAGCCCGCGUAGGAUUAGGUAGUUGGUGGGGUAAUGGCCCACCAAGCCGACGAUCCUUAGCUGGGCUGGGAGGAUGAUCAGCCACACUGGGACUGAGACACGGCCCAGACUCCUACGGGAGGCAGCAGUGGGGAAUAUUGGAAAAUGGGCGAAAGCCUGAUCCAGCAAUGCCGCGUGAGUGAUGAAGGCCUUAGGGUUGUAAAGCUCUUUUACCAGGGAUGAUAAUGACAGUACCUGGAGAAUAAGCUCCGGCUAACUCCGUGCCAGCAGCCGCGGUAA